rnacentral:rRNA from 1 species
UACGUAGGGGGCAAGCGUUUGUCCGGAAUCAUUGGGCGUAAAGAGCGUGUAGGCGGUCCGAUAAGUCCGCUCUGAAAGCCCGGGGGCUCAACCCCGGGAGGCGGGCGGAUACUGUCGGGCUAGAGUCCGGAAGAGGCAAGUGGAAUUCCUGGUGUAGCGGUGAAAUGCGCAGAUAUCAGGAGGAACACCGAUGGCGAAGGCAGCUUGCUGGGACGGUACUGACGCUGAGACGCGAAAGCGUGGGGAGCAAACAGG